GACGAACGCUGGCGGCGUGCCUAAUACAUGCAAGUUGAGCGCUGAAGGCUGGUACUUGUACCAACUGGAUGAGCAGCGAACGGGUGAGUAACGCGUGGGGAAUCUGCCUUUGAGCGGGGGACAACAUUUGGAAACGAAUGCUAAUACCGCAUAAAAACUUUAAACACAAGUUUGAAGUUUGAAAGAUGCAAUUGCAUCACUCAAAGAUGAUCCCGCGUUGUAUUAGCUAGUUGGUGAGGUAAAGGCUCACCAAGGCGAUGAUACAUAGCCGACCUGAGAGGGUGAUCGGCCACACUGGGACUGAGACACGGCCCAAACGCCUACGGGAGGCAGCAGUAGGGCAUCUUCGGCCAGGGACGAAAGUCUGACCGAGCAACGCCGCGGGAGUGAAGAAGGGUGUCGGAUCGUAAAACUCUGUUGGUAGAGAAGAACGUUGGUGAGAGUGGAAAGCUCAUCAAGUGACGGUAACUACUCAGAAAGGGACGGCUAACUACGUG
rnacentral:rRNA from 1 species